GGACUAACAUAAUUCGAACGGUUAAGUUGAGUUGGGAAGGUAGAGGGAAAAUUUAAUGUACAUCAACGAUUAGCCGUUGUUAACGAAAAUCGAUGAUUCUGAACGGGGUCAGGUGAAUAGUAUUGUUUCGUCGUAUUUCGCAGUGUCCCUUUUUUCAACAUUUAUCGGGAAAACUUCUGGGAAAAUCGAAAAAAAACGACCUCUUUAAAAUACCGCCCCAUUCGGAUUUCAUUUCGGAAUAAAAAACGCCGCAAUCGAAAAUCGGAUCGAAAAUUGCCGGGAGAAAUGUUGUUCACGGAAAGAAAAUAAAAAAAAAAUAAACAGACACCACUGCAGCAUAUUGCCCGCCGAGUUUGAAACACGGAACGAUUUCAAUUGUUAAUAUAAUACAUACA